ensembl:ncRNA F38B6.10 ncRNA
GAGAAGCGCCGCCCCGGACGGACGGCGAUGGCGCAUCGCCAAAUGUGUCAUUUUAGUUGUCUUCACGAACCAGAGGGCCCACGACGGACGGGCGGCCACGCCCACCUCAACCAGAAUAUCCUUCCUUCUCCCACCCACCCUUG